AUGGUAGGCCAGGAGAGACCGUGGGCUGAGUUCGAGAUCAAUGUCUCAGCUGAAUUGCUUGCUGUUUACCGCGCGGCCGUAUUCGUCGAUGUGGGCAACGGUGCAGGCUCGUUCUUCUGGGAAGAUCGUUGGCUACAGGGAAGACGCAUUCAGGAGAUCGCUCCUCGGCUCUACAAUUGUGUCCCUCCCAGGAUCCGGAAAAGCAGGACAGUUGGGGACGCUCUGGCUGGGGCUUGGCCUUUGGAUGUCGGGCCGGAUAUGACCGCGGCCGAGAUCUACGAGUACCUAAACCUAUGGGAGUUGGUUAUGGAGGUGGAGCUAAAUCUGGGCGUGGUGGACAAGGUCAGGUGGGCAUGUGAGACCUCGGGGCAGUACACGGUGAGUUCUGCCUACGCGAGCCGAUACUUUGGACGUGAAAAAGACCUGGCUGCCACCGUAGUGUGGGACUCCAGAGCGUAG
rnacentral:rRNA from 1 species